UACGAAGGGGGCUAGCGUUGUUCGGAAUCACUGGGCGUAAAGGGCGCGUAGGCGGCUUUGUAAGUCAGGGGUGAAAUCCUGGAGCUCAACUCCAGAACUGCCUUUGAUACUGGUGAUCUUGAGUCCGGGAGAGGUGAGUGGAACUGCGAGUGUAGAGGUGAAAUUCGUAGAUAUUCGCAAGAACACCAGUGGCGAAGGCGGCUCACUGGCCCGGUACUGACGCUGAGGUGCGAAAGCGUGGGGAGCGAACAGG
rnacentral:rRNA from 1 species